rnacentral:lncRNA from 1 species
AGUCGCCGCAGGCGCUUCAGCCCAGCGGCGGGCCUUGGCCCUUGGCUGCCUACUCCUACCGCCCCAGCCCCGGGCGGCCCUGGGCCUGCUGCGGGCGCGGCGCUGCCCGACCAGAGCUUCCUGUGGAACGUCUUCCAGAGGGUCGAUAAAGACAGGAGUGGAGUGAUAUCAGACACCGAGCUUCAGCAAGCUCUCUCCAACGGUGAGUGGGCCAGUGGGAACUGGGUCUCCGGACCAAGAAGCCGUGAGCCUGCCCUGUUCACAGUGGAUAACUUUCUGAAGUUGUUUUUCCAAGGACAAAGGAAUCAUUAGGACAAAUUGUUAAUACUGCUUCAUGGUGGAGAUGCUUCUGGUUUAUUUUGUGGCUACCGCUGUUACUGCUUGGAGUGCCUCACCGAGCCAGAUGGAGGCCCAUUGAGGCUUCUCUGUCCUCCACGGGGAACAGCAUUGGCCUAAACCUGCAGACACCAUUGCAAAGGGAAUUCAGGCAAACCGGCUGGUGAAGAAUGAUUCCAGCGUGGGGACAGAGGCUGACAUUUCUUGCGCACGUGGACUCCCUUUAAUCCAGUGACUGUCAGGUCGAUCAUAUACUACACUGAAGGCUGGUUACGCUCUUAUGUGCAAUAGAACCUCAAACACAUCGUAACACACCUUUGGAGAAUCCUUACAAGAACACCAAGUUAACAGUUAUCUCUGACCACACUACCUCAGCAAAAAACCAGGAAGAAAAAAUAUUCUUCAACCCUUUUCAGGGACAGAAAGCAUCAUUUCAAAAGUCCAAGAAGGGAAGCAAAACUUCUGACCUGAGACAUCGAAGCAGAUAAAAAGCCGCUACACAAAAUGUAUCGCUACAACUAGAGGGCAGUCUUGCCUUUCUUCCAUUCAAUUAUUCAGUUUCUCAUGUUCCUAAGUGCCAGCCCAGAACCAUGGAAUGUGAAGAAACACAAAACUCACUCCUCUGCAUCAGUGAAUUGAUUGUGUGGUGGGGAUGUAAGUCUGCAUGUGACUGACAGUUCCCCAAAGUGGUGCCAAGUCAAUCUAAACUAGAGAGAAUUUCUGGCCAGGCCAAGCAGAGAUUUCAUGGAUGAAGUCUCCCAAAGACUGAUUUCCUAAACAUUAAACAUCACUGGUUUUCCAAAA